GAUGAACGCUGGCGGCGUGCUUAACACAUGCAAGUCGAACGGAAAGGCCCAAGCUUGCUUGGGUACUCGAGUGGCGAACGGGUGAGUAACACGUGGGUGAUCUGCCCUGCACUUCAGGAUAAGCCUGGGAAACUGGGUCUAAUACCGGAUAGGACGAUGGUUUGGAUGCCAUUGUGGAAAGUUUUUUCGGUGUGGGAUGAGCUCGCGGCCUAUCAGCUUGUUGGUGGGGUAAUGGCCUACCAAGGCGUCGACGGGUAGCCGGCCUGAGAGGGUGUACGGCCACAUUGGGACUGGGAUACGGCCCAGGCUCCUACGGGAGGCAGCAGUGGGGAAUAUUGCACAAUGGGCGCAAGCCUGAUGCAGAGACGCCGCGUGGGGGAUGAAGGCCUUCGGGUUGUAAACUCCUUUCGCUAGGGACGAAGCGGUUUUGUGACGGUACCUGGAGAAGAAGCGCCGGCUAACUACGUG
rnacentral:rRNA from 1 species